GGACACAUAGUCCAUGAUAAGCCCUCGGCGUUACAUCCGUGUUCACUGAUAGAAACCAUCUGUCAGCUCUAAAGUACAUAUUUAGAAAAUGAUUGCAAAGGAAACAUAUCAGCUUCAUUAUUGGAUUCAAAAUGGAGCAAAACAUGGCGCAAGGAUCAGCAGUGACGAAGGUACGAGCGCUUACUUCAUCUUUCUCGACGAGCUUCCAGUUGACGAUGUUAUUAAUGAAAUACUUAUGACUCAUGAGACCAUAUCGUAUACAUUCCAGCAACCUCGGUAAAUAAACCCGUCUCUCCUCGGCUCUGGCUUCGACCCACGUCUUGACGGCGUCAAACACGAUCUCCUCGUUUUUAACAUUGAGCUCGUCGUCGCGCAAUAUUGCUUCCAGCUCGUCGCAAAGAAGAUCCUUGAACUCCGGGCUCUGCCGCAGUAUCCGAUUGAAGUGGUGACGUAUGUACUUCCGGCCCUGUUUCUCAAGAUCGCGACAGAAAUAGUGUCGUGCAAAUUUGAAAAUACCUGUAAUAAUAGUCCAAGUUAUAUCCAACAUAAAUGUCACGAAUUGUUCAGCUGGAAAAUCGAAAAUCAACAUCCAAGUUCGCUCCUGCAACAAAAACUGACAACAGAGCUGGACGAUUCCAAGUACCUCGAAUUGAUCGGCUAACGGCAGUAAUUGUUCGACAUUAUCG